ACUAAGGUUUGUAGCUACAUGUAUACUGUAGUAUUUUUAUUUGUUAUAUGCAUAAUAGUAUCCAUCUGGUGGCUCUCCUGCUCUUAUUAGAGCCAUUGAAAAAGAUAAUACUGAUAAUGUUACAUUGUUACUGGAGAAAGGAGCUGAUCCUAAUGCUACCGAGUAUCCAUCUGGUAGCAAUCCUGCUCUUAUUAAAGCCAUUAAGAAGAAUGAUAUUGGAAUUGUUGAAAUGCUUCUUGAAAAAGGAGCUGAUCCUAAUAUUGAUUUUGAUACUUAUUAUUGUACUCCGUUACACUGUGCUAGUCAAACUGGUAAUGCUAAUAUUAUCAAAUUAUUAAUAACUAAAGGAAAGGCUGAUUUGAAUGCUGUGCAUGAGUGGAGCAGUACUCCAUUGUUUAAUGCUGUUAAGAGUGGU